AGGGUUCGAUUCUGGCUCAGGAUGAACGCUGGCGGCGUGCUUAACACAUGCAAGUCGAACGGGAUCCACCGGGCUUUGCUUGGUGGUGAGAGUGGCGAACGGGUGAGUAAUGCGUGACCGACCUGCCCCAUACACCGGAAUAGCUCCUGGAAACGGGUGGUAAUGCCGGAUGCUCCAGUUGAUCGCAUGGUCUUCUGGGAAAGCUUUCGCGGUAUGGGAUGGGGUCGCGUCCUAUCAGCUUGACGGCGGGGUAACGGCCCACCGUGGCUUCGACGGGUAGCCGGCCUGAGAGGGCGACCGGCCACAUUGGGACUGAGAUACGGCCCAGACUCCUACGGGAGGCAGCAGUGGGGAAUAUUGCACAAUGGGCGCAAGCCUGAUGCAGCGACGCCGCGUGAGGGAUGGAGGCCUUCGGGUUGUAAACCUCUUUUAUCGGGGAGCAAGCGAGAGUGAGUUUACCCGUUGAAUAAGCACCGGCUAACUACGUGCCAGCAGCCGCGGUAAUACGUAGGGUGCAAGCGUUAUCCGGAAUUAUUGGGCGUAAAGGGCUCGUAGGCGGUUCGUCGCGUCCGGUGUGAAAGUCCAUCGCUUAACGGUGGAUCCGCGCCGGGUACGGGCGGGCUUGAGUGCGGUAGGGGAGACUGGAAUUCCCGGUGUAACGGUGGAAUGUGUAGAUAUCGGGAAGAACACCAAUGGCGAAGGCAGGUCUCUGGGCCGUUACUGACGCUGAGGAGCGAAAGCGUGGGGAGCGAACAGGAUUAGAUACCCUGGUAGUCCACGCCGUAAACG
rnacentral:rRNA from 1 species